rnacentral:rRNA from 1 species
AGAGUUUGAUCCUGGCUCAGGACGAACGCUGGCGGCGUGCUUAACACAUGCAAGUCGAACGGAAAGGCCCCUUCGGGGGUACUCGAGUGGCGAACGGGUGAGUAACACGUGGGUAAUCUGCCCUGCACUUCGGGAUAAGCCUGGGAAACUGGGUCUAAUACCGGAUAUGACCACGAGGCGCAUGCCUUGUGGUGGAAAGCUUUUGCGGUGUGGGAUGGGCCCGCGGCCUAUCAGCUUGUUGGUGGGGUGACGGCCUACCAAGGCGACGACGGGUAGCCGGCCUGAGAGGGUGUCCGGCCACACUGGGACUGAGAUACGGCCCAGACUCCUACGGGAGGCAGCAGUGGGGAAUAUUGCACAAUGGGCGCAAGCCUGAUGCAGCGACGCCGCGUGGGGGAUGACGGCCUUCGGGUUGUAAACCUCUUUCAGCAGGGACGAAGCGCAAGUGACGGUACCUGCAGAAGAAGCACCGGCCAACUACGUGCCAGCAGCCGCGGUAAUACGUAGGGUGCGAGCGUUGUCCGGAAUUACUGGGCGUAAAGAGCUCGUAGGUGGUUUGUCGCGUUGUUCGUGAAAACCGGGGGCUUAACCCUCGGCGUGCGGGCGAUACGGGCAGACUGGAGUACUGCAGGGGAGACUGGAAUUCCUGGUGUAGCGGUGGAAUGCGCAGAUAUCAGGAGGAACACCGGUGGCGAAGGCGGGUCUCUGGGCAGUAACUGACGCUGAGGAGCGAAAGCGUGGGGAGCGAACAGGAUUAGAUACCCUGGUAGUCCACGCCGUAAACGGUGGGUACUAGGUGUGGGUUUCCUUCCUUGGAAUCCGUGCCGUAGCUAACGCAUUAAGUACCCCGCCUGGGGAGUACGGCCGCAAGGCUAAAACUCAAAGGAAUUGACGGGGGCCCGCACAAGCGGCGGAGCAUGUGGAUUAAUUCGAUGCAACGCGAAGAACCUUACCUGGGUUUGACAUGCACAGGACGCCGGCAGAGAUGUCGGUUCCCUUGUGGCCUGUGUGCA